UACGAAGGGGGCUAGCGUUGUUCGGAAUCACUGGGCGUAAAGCGCACGUAGGCGGCUCGUUAAGUCGGGGGUGAAAUCCCGAGGCUCAACCUCGGAACUGCCUUCGAUACUGGCGAUCUUUGAGUCCGGGAGAGGUGAGUGGAACUCCGAGUGUAGAGGUGAAAUUCGUAGAUAUUCGGAAGAACACCAGUGGCGAAGGCGGCUCACUGGCCCGGUACUGACGCUGAGGUGCGAAAGCGUGGGGAGCGAACAGG
rnacentral:rRNA from 1 species